rnacentral:snRNA from 1 species
AGCUUUGCACAGUGGCAGUAUUACAGUCAAUGAGGUUUAUUUGAGGCGUGAUUAUUGCUAAUUGU